AGACUCUCUGGGGCAUGUGUUUUCUGUGUGCUGGAAACCCUGCCGGCAAGAACAUUCACCUCAUAUAUGAAGAACCAAGUUUCUCUGAGAUUCCACUAAAAUGACAGUGUCAGAGUGCAAGAAGAGAUAAAGCUGUAGCAAUGAAGAGACUGGGAAUGAAGGUCGAUUGUAGAUGAAAGACUUCAACAGAUUUCUUGAAUAUGAAAGCAGAUGGCAAAAUGUUGAUGGAUGACACAGAGUAGAGGAAGCCAAAGUCCAAAUGAUGCCUUCUGAGUAUAUACCCCAGGAAAACCAAGGAGAAGACCAAAAAGAAGACCUGGAAUACAGGAUUGGCCUUGAAUCCAGGAGGUCACUGAAGAGAAUCCCAAGGAUGACAGCUGUGCAGCAGAUCCAGACAACAGGUCCAGAUUAGAAAAUUCUUGGAAGGACCUCAUUGUGGGGGGCUAUGAGUAGAUAAGAGGAUUCUAUAUAAUAGUAAUUGGCAUUACUGAAAGGCUGGAUACAUAUGAGAUUG